AAAAUCUCCCCAGAUGCUCACUGCUCUGAUCAUUUCCCCUACAGCAUCAGACAUGUUGGCAUCAUCUCUUAGUUGGGCCCUGUGGCCAGGGAACCUUUCAUGAAACCACCUCUGCAGUCCUGGAGAGUUGCUGUAGAAGAAGGAAAAGAGAAGAAGACAACACAACACAGGAGGGGAUAAGUACCUCUGGACACAAUGGAAGUAGUAGUUGUUGAGCAGAGGGAAAGGGAUAGGAGAAGGAUGUGGACUGCAGUGCGGCAGUGCCAGAGCCCCAGCAGCUACUAUUAAUAAGUGUCUGGAAUAUGUUCCUGGCAUUUCACCUACCCUCUCUCCAAUCCUUCCAAGAAACUCACAAAGCAGGGCUUUUUCUUGAACUUCUCUUCCUCACAACAGUUAAAUCAUCCAUUUAAAGAUGUCAGACAACCUCCGUGUUCUAAGAACUAUUUACUAAGCUCUAUGGAGACACAGCUACGAGCACCACAUGCUGGACCCCUGAAUAUGGAGGGCCAACUACACUAGAAACACACACACUAGCUGAGAAAGAUGGUGGCUUAAGGAGAUCACCAGUUUGUAGUAGAGGCCCACUCUCGGAAGGUUUGGUAAAAAUUUGUUUUGAAUCAUAAUGUUGGCUUUAUUGGCAUGUUGAAACCAUUUACCUCUGUAAUUUUCCAUUUGUUUUCCUUUACAACUACCACUCCUCCUGCCUGAUAAAUAAAUACCAUUGCAAGAUUA
rnacentral:lncRNA from 1 species